rnacentral:rRNA from 1 species
GACGAAGGGGGCUAGCGUUGUUCGGAAUUACUGGGCGUAAAGCGCGUGUAGGCGGCUGCCAAAGUCGGGUGUGAAAGCCUUGAGCUCAACUCAAGAAUGGCACUCGAUACUUGGUGGCUAGAGGACCGGAGAGGAUAGUGGAAUUCCCAGUGUAGUGGUGAAAUACGUAGAUAUUCGCAAGAACACCAGUGGCGAAGGCGGCUCACUGGCCCGGUACUGACGCUGAGGUGCGAAAGCGUGGGGAGCAAACAGG